CGAAAUGAUGCUUCGUCUAAUUAUCGCCAUUCCGAGGCGUCGUUAACACGCGAGCGAGCGCGGAGAAUGAUAACGACUUCUGUGGUUCGUCGAGGCUCGGAUUUGCCAUCUUAAGCCCCUAGCCCAGGGACGCGGAAUUCCCUGGGACAGACUCUCUCACAGACAAAUGAUGGCAUUGAGUAGAAGAAUCCCACACAUCUCAGACUGGCAUUGAGCUCACCAUGUCACAGAGGACGACCCCCAUCUUUGGCUCCUCCUGCCUCUACCUCCAAACUGCUGAGAUCCCAGAUGCAUAGGGCCACACCCAGUUUCAUUCAGCGAUGAAGACCAAACUCAGGGCUUUGUACCUGCUAAGCAAGCCCUCCGCCCAAUGAGCUGCACCGCUUCAGCCACUUCUUUAACUUGCUUGCCACUCCACCAAAGGGACGUCUCUGGGAUGCAGCAUGGGGGUGAGGUGGUAUAGCAUCUCUUCACUACCUAUUCAUCUCAAAGAAGACUUUUGGAGACUUUGGGGACUUUUUGGAGACCCACAAACAGCCAAGCUGUAAGGACAGGCAGCCCUGUGGUCAGAGGAAGGAUGCAUGGCUGUGUCUAUGUGUGUGCCAUAUGCUUCCAUCUAUAAAGGCAGGAUGUAUGGCUGGGACACUCAGCCCUGAGCUGCAAAGCUGUCUCAUGGAACACCAAGAAAACAUCAGGUGAGGAGCCUGGGCUCUGGAGAUGAUCAGACAUGGGUACCACCUGCUUUUACACACAUGAGGCACCAAACCCCAAGAGCUCCCUAGGAUAUAGGCAACCUGAUGGUGCUUGAACUUUCAAGAGGGAGGCCUUCUGGAAAGUUCCACUUCCAUUUCAGAGGUCGGCACUUAACUUACCACUCCUUCCCUUAUGAGUCUAACUUAAAAAUACUUCUGGAGGCAUGGUGACUCAUGCUGGUGAUCGUAGGAAACCACUUGGAAACUGAGGCAGGAGGAUGGAGAAUUUUAGAAUAGCUUGAGCUUUGUAGUGUGUUUCAAUGUGAAUAACUGAAUGAGUACUAAAAACACUUGAGCUUUUCAGAAUCAAUGAGUUCUCUUGGUAUCUGCAGGCAUCAUGCCACUCAUGGUCUGGGAAAUUCAUUAAAGGCCUUGACCAAAAAAAUAAAAAUAAAAAUAAAGACCUUGGCCAGGUCCUUCCUGGAACCCUAUACUGGAGCCUUGGAGUAUGCUUGCACACUCUGCCGUGGCUUCGAGCUGGUGACCACUUUGAAAACCACUAAGACUCCUCUGAUAAGGACAAAUGCCCAUGUGACUCACAGGGUCCUAUGAAGACAGCUUUGGAGAGGUCCUGACCAGUUCCCAUGCCCCAGAACCACGGCUGGCACUGCCAGGCUCACCAACAGUGUGGCAGGCACAUCAAAGACUUAUGGCUGGCUGUAAGAAGCCUGUGGCGUCCACCAAGCUUCCUGGGGUACCCACUAUGGAACACAAGUGAAGGAUGGAGGACAACUUGAGGGAGUCAGUUCUCUCCUUCCACCACAAGGACCCUGAGACUUGAACAUGGGUUGACAGGUUUAGCAGCACGCAUCUUUACCUUCUGAGCCAUAUCACUAGCCCCCUCCUUUAUUAAAAAAAAAUCAUACAAGGGACAGAUGAUCCUGGCUCAAGUCCUACCCAGCCACAGGAGGGUGGUCAAGACAACACAGUUAAGGCCCUCUAGCCUUGGUGACAAAACACAGUGCUGCCACCUUGAUGUCCCUUGCAUCCCAUAAUCUCCAGGAGCCUCACCCAUAAAAAGCAGCCCCUCCCACAUCCCCAAUCCACUCAGAGCCGCUGAGCCUUGCGUCCAAUUUCACAGCCGUGUGCCU
rnacentral:lncRNA from 1 species